rnacentral:rRNA from 1 species
AAUCGAACCCGGAGAUAGCUGGUUCUCCCCGAAAUAGCUUUAGGGCUAGCGUCGAGGUAAGUUGCGUGAAGGUAGAGCACUGAAUAUGUGAUGGCCCCAUCUCGGGGUACUGAGCAUAAUCAAACUGCGAAUGUCACGCCAACAUGCUCGGCAGUCAGACAGCGGGUGAUAAGGUCCGUUGUCAAGAGGGAAACAGCCCAGACCAUCAGCUAAGGUCCCAAAAUGUAUGCUAAGUGGAAAAGGAUGUGGAGAUGUACAGACAACUAGGAGGUUGGCUCAGAAGCAGCCAUCCUUUAAAGAGUGCGUAACAGCUCACUAGUCGAAUGACUCUGCGCCGAUAAUUUACCGGGGCUAAGCAUACUACCGAAGCUAUGGAUCCCAAGGGAUGGUAGGGGAGCGUUCCAUGAACGGAGAAGUACGACCGAAAGGACGUGUGGAGAUCAUGGAAGAGAGAAUGCCGGUGUGAGUAGCGGAACGUGGGUGAGAAUCCCACGCACCGAAAACCCAAGGUUUCCAGAGGAAGGUUCGUCCGCUCUGGGUAAGUCGGGACCUAAGGCGAGGCCGAAAGGCGUAGUCGAUGGACAACAGGUAGAGAUUCCUGUACCCGUAUAUAUGUGAAGGAAUGACGGAGAGAGGAAGCUGCAGCCAGCGGCUGGAAGAGCUGGUGCAAGCGAGAUAUCGGGAUGGCAGGCAAAUCCACCAUCCGAAACGAGAAGGCGUGAAGCGUACGGAAAGCUACGGCGAGUACGGAAGGCAGUGGAGGAACUUCCAAGAAAAGUUUCUAACGUUAAGUAUAUAUGGCCCGUACCGAAAAUGGACACACAUGGGUGAGGAGAGAAUCCUAAGGUGAGCGAGAGAACUAUAGCUAAGGAACUCUGCAAAAUGACUCCGUAACUUAGGGAGAAGGAGUGCUCAUAGAGAUAUGAGCCGCAGUGAAACGGCCCAAGCGACUGUUUACCAAAAACACAGCUCUCUGCUAAGCCGCAAGGCGAAGUAUAGGGGGUGACGCCUGCCCGGUGCUGGAAGGUUAAGGGGAGGGGUUAACGCAAGUGAAGCCCUGAACUGAAGCCCCAGUAAACGGCGGCCGUAACUAUAACGGUCCUAAGGUAGCGAAAUUCCUUGUCAGGUAAGUUCUGACCCGCACGAAAGGCGUAACGAUUUGGGCGCUGUCUCAGCUGUAGACUCGGUGAAGUCUUAGUACCUGUGAAGAUGCAGGUUACCCGCGACUAGACGGAAAGACCCCAUGGAGCUUCACUGCAGGUUGAUAUUGGGAUUUGAUGCAGCAUGUACAGGAUAGGUAGGAGGCAAAGAGAUGGAUACGCCAGUAUUCAAGGAGCCGCUGUUGGGAUACUACCCCUGUUGUAUUGGAUUUCUAACCGGACGACGUAGAACCGUUGACGGGACAGUGUCAGUCGGGCAGUUUGACUGGGGCGGUCGCCUCCCAAAGAGUAACGGAGGCGCCCAAAGAUACCCUCAGCUUGGAUGGAAACCAAGCGCAGAGUGCAAAGGCAAAAGGGUGUUUGACUGCGAGACCCACAAGUCGAGCAGGGACGAAAGUCGGGCUUAGUGAUCCGGCGGUGCUGAAUGGAAAGGCCGUCGCUCAACGGAUAAAAGCUACCCUGGGGAUAACAGGCUGAUCUCCCCCAAGAGUUCACAUCGACGGGGAGGUUUGGCACCUCGAUGUCGGCUCAUCGCAUCCUGGAGCGGAAGUACGUUCCAAGGGUUGGGCUGUUCGCCCAUUAAAGCGGUACGCGAGCUGGGUUCAGAACGUCGUGAGACAGUUCGGUCCCUAUCUGUCGUGGGCGCAGGAAAUUUGAGAAGAGCUGUCCUCAGUACGAGAGGACCGGGAUGGACGCAUCAAUGGUGGACCAGUUGUCACGCCAGUGGCAUAGCUGGGUAGCUAAAUGCGGAAGGGAUAAACGCUGAAGGCAUCUAAGUGUGAAACCCACUUCAAGAUGAGAUUUCCCAUUGC